AGGAAGAUCAUGUGAAGGUUGAAAAUGCACAGGAAUCAAAGAAAUCUAUCAAGGAGGAAGAGACAGAGAAUUCGAAGGAAGUUCAUGUCAAGGAGGAAGAUGCAGAGGAUUCAAAGGAAGUCCCUCUCAAGGAGGAAGAUGCAGAGGACUCAAAGGAAGAUCCUGUCAAGGAGGAAGGUCUACAGGACCUAAAGGAAGAUGCUGCAGAGGAGAAAGAUACAGAGGACUUAAAGGAAGAUAUUGUCAAGGAGGAAGAUGCUGAGAACUCAAAGGAAGAUCCUGUCAAGGAGAAAGGUCUACAGGACCUAAAGGAAGAUGCUACAAUGGAGAAAGACGCAGAGGACUUAAAGGAAGAUAUUGUCAAGGAGGAAGAUAUAGUUGAGUCAAAAGAGGAGGCUAUAAAGGUGAAAGAUGUAGAGGAGUCAAAGGAAAAUGUUGUAAUUGGGGAAGAUGCAGAGGAGUCAAAGGAAGAUGUUGUAAUGGGGGAAGAUGCAGAGGGUUCAAAGGAAGAUGCUGUGAUGGAGAAAAAUGUGGAGGUGUCGAAGGAAGAUGCUGUGAUGGAGAAAAAUGUGGAGGUGUCGAAGGAAGAUCUUGUCAAGGAGGAAGAUGCAGAGGACUCAAAGGAAUAUCAUGUGAAGGAGGAAGAUGCAGAGGGUUCAAAGGAAGAUGCUGUGAUGGAGAAAGAUGCAGAGGAGUCGAAGGAAGAUCUUGUCAAGAAGGAAGAUGCAGAGUACUCAAAGGAAUAUCCUGUGAAGGAGGACGGUGCAGAGGGUUCAAAGGAAGAUGCCGUGAAAGAGAAAAAUGCAGAGGACUCAAAGGAAUGUCCUGUCAUGGAGGAAGAUGGAGAGGAGUCAAAGGAAGAACCUGUCAAGGAGGAAGAUGCAGAGGAGUCAAAGGAAGAUCCUGUUAAGGAGAAAGAUGCAGAGGAUUUAAAUGAUGCAGGACCAACGCUCAUGUAUGAGAUGGAUCCUGAAGAAUUGGAAGAAUCUUCAAA
rnacentral:lncRNA from 1 species